CACAUCCAUGUCACUACCUCUCCCUUUACAAAUGCCACACUAUCAUCUCGUGUUUGUUGGAGGUGAAUAUGUGGAAGGAAAUAAAUUACUGGCAUUGUACAAGUGGCAGUCUUGCUGGUCCUGACAAACUUGCAUCCAGUGUUCUUUCUGUUCCUGUACGAGCAUUUGUGGGACCCACCUGGCACAACCUUCCAACUGAGUGUAUUCUAUGAUUUUAUAUUUGAAAAGACCAUUCAAGAACCUCGUGGACCAUCUUCUUUUUUCAUUCAUGUUCUCACUGGAUUGAUCUAGAUACAGGAGCUGUUGUGGAGAGGGUGACACAAAAGUGAGAGUGCACUACCUGCAGGCAGUUAGCAGAGAGCUGUGAAAAAAAGGGAAAGAGUGUGGGGAUAUGAAAAGGAAAAUUCUCCAGUCCAUCUAAGAAAAGAAAACUCAGUGAGGAAAAAAAAAAAAAAAAAAAGAAGGAAAAGCAUAAUGGAAGUGAAGUAAACCUUUGAAUAAAUCCAGAAAUGUCAUCUGGACCACCAAGGUGAAAGAAGAGAUCCUGGAUUAACACUUUUCAGCGUCAGCCUGGAAAGAUUCUUUUCAGGCAAUUACUGUUGCCAGAAAGUAAUUCAAUAUUCUGUAAUUUAAACUGAAACUGAACUACAUUUAUUGCUUGGUAUUGCACAACUCUGAAGAUGCAAGGAAUAGAAGUUAAUUUUGAAGACUCAUCAAAAGGGCUGCAUCCAUCACCAAAAUCUAUUUCUGAAUCAAAGCCUCCACCAUGGAAAGCUCCAACACCUGCUGGAAAAUGUGCCCUGUGGUACAUAAUAACUAUACGAGAAUCUCAGUCCUGGUCUGAACUGAAAUGGGGACCCCUUCUCUACAUCUUGCUGCACCAAUGUCUCUACAAACUGCUCCACGUGUGAGCUGUGCUCUAGGCCUAGCUCUUAUAUAGGCCUAUUGCUAGCAACACAUAAUAUGGUGCUUGACCAUCCAUAUUUGGAUGGCAGCUGCAACAAAGGCUUCAGGCACUUUUAGGUCAGUGAUGUUGGAUCCUGUCCCCAGAAGGUUCAGAAGCUCCCAAAGCAGAACCCACAGAUGGCUAAACAAACUGCUGCAUCUGUUGUCUCUAUCUGUUAGCUGUACUUGACAGCAACAGGUAUGCAUAGUGCUUGUAUAGCAUUCCAAAGGAAGAAGUGUUGGAUUUUUUAAAAAAUAUGCAGAGCAGAUCACCUGUUCAGACAAUCUAAGUUUUUAAGGCGCGUCUGUUUCAUUAACUGUUUUCUGUUGGCAGCUCAUGUAAAAUUGUAUUCCUCUGUCUUGGAGAGGGCAAGAGAGACUUCAGAACUCUCCCCUUUCAGACCAACCUUUUGCUUCCACAGAAAAUUUUGGGGUGGUAACAAUGCCAAUACCAAACUAGCUCUUCUUUGUGAAUACUUGAAAGACAGAGAUGCUCAAGCUGUCACACCGGUCCUUUAUAAAACAAUGCAUUCUGUCAGG
rnacentral:lncRNA from 1 species